rnacentral:rRNA from 1 species
GACGAACGCUGGCGGCGUGCCUAAUACAUGCAAGUCGAACGAACCGCGACUAAGUGCUUGCACUAAGUCAAGGUGAGUGGCGAACGGGUGAGUAACACGUGGGUAACCUACCUCAUAGUGGGGGAUAACAGUCGGAAACGACCGCUAAUACCGCAUAGGACAUAGGAUCACAUGAUCCAGUGAGGAAAGGUGGCGCAAGCUAUCGCUAAGAGAUGGACCCGCGGUGCAUUAGCUAGUUGGUAGGGUAAAGGCCUACCAAGGCGAUGAUGCAUAGCCGACCUGAGAGGGGGAUCGGCCACAUUGGGACUGAGACACGGCCCAAACUCCUACGGGAGGCAGCAGUAGGGAAUCUUCCGCAAUGGACGCAAGUCUGACGGAGCAACGCCGCGUGAGUGAAGAAGGUCUUCGGAUCGUAAAGCUCUGUUGUUAGAGAAGAACAGCGCAUAGAGUAACUGCUAUGCGUGUGACGGUAUCUAACCAGAAAGCCACGGCUAACUACGUG